rnacentral:misc_RNA from 1 species
GCUGUGGAUGUCACCUCAACAGCCUGGGUAGCCUCGGGUACUGCGUGGUUGCCCUGGGUCUCACCACAUACAUCUUGGCUACAGAGAUUCAGCAGUUCAUCAAGUACUUCUACCUUCCUUGGCCUGACCACAGCAUGCCCAACCUAGAGCUCAACGUUCAUAUUGGGCUGGUAGGAGCAGCAGCCGUUCUCUCCGUGUUCUUCUUCGGGGCGUCGGUGUUCAAGAUCGGUAACUACGCCAACGACGGCUAUCGGAUGGGUGUACAGGACGGUAGCUGUUCCCGCGACCCUCCUCCCCUCCCUGGCGCUGCUGGGGGCGUGGUGAGGGGCGCCUGGCUACACGGUGGUCCCACGGCGCCCUUUCUACACCUGCUUGUGGCUCACCUGCUGAUAGUGGCCAGACUGAUCAUGGAGGCCGCUGCUACCAAGGCCUGCUUCCUGCCUGAGAGUACGGUGUGGGGGUCGGAGCUCUCAAAGAUAUUACCCCAAAAGGAUCGGCUCAAUUUCUUCAACUUCUUGGCUACUGUUGCUGACACCACCUCCCCACCCUCCCCAGGCCCGGCAGCAGCACGGUAUGAAGCCUCGACGUCAGUAACCUUCCAGGCAGCUGAGGUGACGCUUGAGGAUAGGGAGGAAGACGAAGACCUUUGGCAUGUUGGAGAGAUACCUUGGGGUCCCUUUACUCCCCACUUCCUCAACUACCUCCUCGCUCACCUUAUCUACGCCGGCAGGUACGCUGGUGUCUUCUGGGGCACCAAUAAGGGCCUGGGCUUGGUCUUCUUCACCCAGCUCCUCCUCAACGCCGCUCAGAGCAUCUUUGCCAUCAACGGCUUCCAGGUGCUGUACAAGGUUCACGUGGCUGGACCUGAUCACGUGCUGCCAGUGUUCGACGGGUUUGUGCUGCCCCUGGCGGUGUGUGUGGCGGUGUUCACGGCAUGGCAGGCGCUGGUGCUGGCCUCAGGGUCUGUGCUCUACCUCUACGGCUUCCUCAAGUUCAACGCCUUCCUCAACGCCGAGAAGGAGAAGUACCAUAUCUUGAGCAAGCACGGUCAUGAGACACCCUGGAGCUACUGGCCACACUGCUGGGGGCUGACAGUGCUGGUGUUGAUGACCGCCGCCGCCUCCCCUCUUGUACACGACUGGACUGUGGUGUAUCGGGCGUCCCUAGAUACCUCUGUUCUGGCCGCUACUAUCGCUACCAUCACCCACCUCUUCUUGUGGAUACUGCUGUGGAUGGCUCUUACUAUCAAGUCUCGGUGGCACUUUAAGCUACGGGUGCAGAUCUCCAAGACCAUCGUCACCAGCACCCACUCCAUCAGGCUGGUGAAUGAGGUGCAGCUCUCCCGGCAGAUCGAGGAGACAGAGGGCCCAGUGAUGGUGAUUGGGGCAGGUAAGACCUACCUUCUUCAGGAGGGAAGCCCCAAGCGCUCCCUAAUGAAGCUCCUCAUGCACACCGUCACCCAGAAGAAGGCUCGCGGGGAGGAGGAGGAGAUCUACUGGCUACGCCCUAAGCCUCCUCCAGGAGGUGGUGGGUCGUGGAGCAAGAGGAAGCAUUCCCCUGGCGUGAAGCACAAGGUCACCUUCAACGACACUCCCUCCACCUCCAGGAAGCGUGACUCCGGGCGAGGUGGUCACUGCCCCGACGUACUUCACAAUCUCUCUGAAUCGGAAACCUCGGACAGUGACGGGGAUUACGCCAGGCUAAGAGAUGUCUCUUUCCCGGGGCCCACCAGGAGGCUGUCUCAUAAGCCGCCCCUGCCAGCCCCCCCUGAGUCCUGCAGUCCCCCAGCCCCACCCCCCAUGGCUUCUCCCCCAGCAGCCCAGCCCCCACCACCCCUGGGUCAGCAGCAGCAGCUGCAGCAGCCACCCCAGGUACCCCCGCACAUGACCCAGGCUCACCUGGUGGUGCAGCAUCAGCACCAUCCACAGCAGCAACAACAACAGCAGCACCAUCAACAACAACAGCUGCAGCACCCACAACAUCAGCAACAACAGCACCCACAACAUCAGCAACAACAGCACCCACAACAUCAUCAGCACCCACAACAACAACAUGCGCAGCAGCAGCAGCAUCUCCAACAACAACACCCACAACAGCACCCACAGCAGCAGCAAGUCCCACAACAUCAACACCCACAGCAUCAACAGCACCCACAACAACAGUAUCAGCAGCAGCAGCAACAGCAUCAGCAGCAGUAUCAACAGCAUUACCAGCAACAGCAGCAACAGCAGCAUCACCUAACUCAGCCCAACCCACAGAUACACAUCCUUCGCGGAAACUCUCUGGAGAGCAGCCCGGGCCGUAGUGGGGACUCAGCAGUGGUGAUGGGGGAGGUGCCACGACACUCCGACUCCUCCUCCACCGCUUCUUCCGUCAGCCCACCCGACAAGCGCUGUGACUCUGGUAUUCACUCCCAGGCAUCCUACUCCUCAUCCUCAGCCUCGCACUCUAAGUCAGGAUCCUCUGGGUCAGAAAGCUGCGUGCCUAUCCCACCAGCGGGGCCUCCUCGCUGCUCCAGUGUCGAUGACCUGUGCCGGACACAACCACCGCCGCCGCCUCCUGAGUCAUGUGUAAAGAGCCUCUCCUUGCAGAGGAGCGCCGUACCUCCCGCUAUACCUCCUUCUAACCACGGCACUGGCCCCGCCCCUGCUGCCAACAAUGCCCCAGGGAAGGCUGGACGAUUGAAUAUAGAAGUAGUGGGAGGAGGCUACGGCUUCUUGCCACCUUCCAAGUUUGUGGCGUCAGAACCUGUGUACAGUGACGCUUCCACACCUGUAGUGAUCAAGCGACGGAGUUCAGUGACUGCAGUAGAGCCUGACACACCCCCAUAUGAACGCUCAGGCUCCUCUUUCAGCACAUUCACGGAGCCUCAGCUACCAAGAGCAGUUCUGAAGGGUAACCCAUAUGCUGCCGCCAAGUCCCAGACCGUGGCAGCCCAUGGGCUCCGUGCACGACGGCUGCCUGCAGCCGACGCCAAGCACGCCACCAUCGCCGGGGUCGUGCCCCCCAAGGGCUUCCAUCAGCCGGGCCACAUCGACUCGCGCUACUUCUCUGUGCCCGCCGUCAAGCCGCCAGGUACCCGUGUGCACCCGGCGCCCACUCCCACCCUCUCCUAUCGCACCCCCUCCCUCCACUAACUCUCACGCCCCUGAUGUGCCCGUAAGAUUAUGAUUGGACGCGACAGUCCCAGAGGAGGACGGAGACAGGGUGACGGAAGGGACCGGUGUGAUGGCGUAACAAGACCACACCAGUAAGUUAUCCAAGAACCUGAAAGAAAUAUCGAGUGGACUUGAUUACGAGAAUGACAUGAAGAGUGAGUCAUGAACACUUGUAAACAGAGGUUGCUGCUGACGGUGGCUUAGUGUGUAUAACCUUCCACAAACUCGAGUCAAUAGUAUAGAGCACAGUGUUUACUACAGGAGACAGUGGUGUGUGUGUUUAUUUGUGUGUGUGUGUGCGUGGACGUUCACUUUAAGGCCGGGAUCGGACCAGACAAUAAUAAGGCUUGUGAGUGGUACAUAUCGUGUGACCCAACACCCUGGAAGAGGGAGAGUGUCAGAGAGCCCAUAGUCAGUACAGAACAGACCACAUAUCCAGGCUGCUGUCACUCACGACGAUGGUUGGUUCUCGCAACAUGCUACGCCCCCGCAUCUAUCUUAUUAACAUUAUCCAUGGACGAAUAUAUUUUGUUUCUGGUAGAUGUAAAUUUGAAAAUUAUAAUAUGCCUUAAAGUGUUGGGUUGCUAAACUAGAUUAAUUGCAAAUCAUAUGUGAUGUACCAGAGAAAUGCAUUUCAUAUUGAUAAGGCUCUGUAGGUACAGUUGUUGUGCUACAUGUAAGACACACAGCAGAAUAUUACAGUACUCUAUCAACUCACUAUGAUCUAAGGUCACUAUGAAUGCUUUAAUUUGUAUUGUACUAUUAUUAUAUAAUACAAGAAUACGAUCCAUUCCCCAGCUUUAUUUAAUGAUGGUUGAUGAAGGACAUUUUCAACAAAGCAGAGUUGGAUUUUUUAAGUGAUGACCUCUAGUGCUAGGCUCCUCAAUAAGGGACUGUGUAAGAUAGUUUGAUGCCGUGGAUAUUGUCAAAACUUACUUCCAUUCUACAAUGGAAAUAAAAAGGCAGAUACCUGUAUUUUAUUUAGAAUUUUCAUGGCAAAGUUUAGACAUUUGUAAAUUUCUAUAAACCUCUGGCAGUGAUAUAGUACCACUGUAGACAAUGGUACUACAUCAGUUAUGUGUGUCUCUACUCAUAAUUUACAAGGAGAAAUUGUAUAAAGAAAAUCUUUCAGUACAGCUUCAUAUACAGUAUACUGUACAUAUAUCCUGCCCUCACACGAGUGAAGGAUGAGAUCUGUCAGUUAAUAUUUAUACAGUACAUGGAUGUAUUUAAGUCUCAUCAUUGAUACCCGAGUCUAAGACAAAGGGUACAUAUUACAGCGUGAUAAACUUUACAUUUAACAUGUAUCGUAUUAACAAUUUCACCAACUGUUUUUCAACUUGAAUCUCCAGGGCUUAUGACUAUUCUGUUUUACUGCAAAACUUUCAAUCCCUCCUAAGUUUAGGGAAAACAUUGUCAAAUUUGUAUAUAUAUUAAAACACCUACAAAAGCUUAUGAUGUACAUAGUAGCAGUGAUAUUAAAAGCAGCUAAAACAAAGCAGUUGUUGAUAAUAUGUCUCCUGCUUUGGUCACACCUCAAUCAAAACACUAGUUAAAACUUGCCCAAAGACUCAAGUACCUGAAGGAUUCCAGAUUCCAAGUGAAAUGUAAACACACAAAAGGUUCUGUAAGACUUUUGGCAUCUUAACUCAGCCAAUUGGUCAAGUUUCACUCAACAGGUGAAAUUAAUUUACUGCAUUUGUCUGUUUUUGUUUAACCUUUACCUUUCCAGCAUUUUUCUUUAUAAUAUUUACAUGUGAAGAUUAAAUCAGUUUAAUAAUUCUUAGUUUUUGAAUCACUGAAAGCACUUGGUAAUAUAGAAAACUGAGACAUUUUAUAUUGUAUUCAGAAUUUGUCAUGUUAAGAAUUUAUAAGUUAAUGUAACCUUUCCUCUUAGAUAUUCAUCAUCAUCACCGUCAUCUUUCAGACUGUCUUGCAUUAGACAUUUAAAUACUGUCCUGAAUUUUAUCUUAACAGUUAUGAUCAUGCAGAUUUUGGUCAUAAAAAAGCUAAAUUUAUUACACCUCAAAAUUCAGACCAAUAAAAAAAUUUAUUACUCUUGCACAAUAAAAGACAUAAAAGGCAACAGGUAUAAUGGAAGUGCCACAUUUGUCAGACAGUACUGUGUAUCUCUUGCUUUUGCCUGAGGACAUCACUUGCCUCAAACCCAUUACUUUAUACUCUCUUAAACAUACUGCAUACUUAUUUUCAAGGUUAGGAUUUUUCCUGGGUACUUGUGACAACUUAGGACUGAGAGGUGUAGAAGUCUUGACACUAGCACAAAUCUUCACACUUGAGUGGAUGAUAGACCUGUGUAUGUUACUGUAGUACUCAACUCUGACUUCAUACUCUCGGCCAACAGCCACUAUUUCCUCAGUAUCAAAACCUUUCUCGCUCUUUUCAUUGCAUUACCAUCUGGAUUGUUUUUCUGGUUUUUUUGUCACCUAGCAUAGUUAAAGGUGCACAACACAUUUACCGUGCAGCGGCUGAGACAGAUCAACAGUGUGGGCGCCAACCAGUACAGUACAGUAAUGGCCAACAUUAAGCUGGCUGCAGCAUACACCUAGUUCAGACUCAAACCUGGGGAUCAAUUUUUUCUUCUGCAUUCAAUAAAUCGGUGCUGUAUUAUUAUUUUUAGUGAAUAAUAUAAUCAACAUUGAAGAAACUUGUAUAAGACAAGGCUUGACUACAGUACUCACACUUUCAUAAAUAAUCUGGUGUUCAUAAGUUUAUUUUAGAAAGAGGAGAUAUAUAUGAUAGUCAAAUACCCACUGCAAAAUAGCCAACAUUGUGACCUUGAAUAAAUCGCCACUUGCCUUGGACAUUAUUAAAAACAAAACUACUGUACUAAUUUAAGGAUGAUUUUCAUUUAAGAAACAGUGGGCCACAUCAUAUAAGUUGCUAAUUAUGUAAUGCCACUUGCUAAUUAUAUAAUGCAACUUGCUAAUUAGAUAAUGGCACUAGCUAAUUAUUUAAUGACACUAUUGCUCAUUACAUAAUGGCACUAUAUAUAUUUGAGGGUUAUUUGGGUUUAGUAAAGGCAUUAGAAUAUGAGGAAACAGAUAGCAAGUGCUAAGGAAUUAUUCGUCUUAAUAAAAGGGUAACAUCAGGUACAUAAGUUAACACCAAAAGACUGAAUAUAUAUCUAAUCCCUCAUUUAUCCUUUCAAUAUUAGUUUCAAGUUAUAUAUAGUGUAUGGAGUUGCUUUAUGGGUUGUGGAUAUGGUACCUGUCAUGGUUGUUGGUGGCUACGGGAAACACCUGUUGUGUAUUUUUUUUUUAUGGGAUAAGUUAAUGAUCCAGAAAGGUAUAGCAUAAAGCCUCUGUUCUACCAUUUACAGAUAAUUAAUAGGUUACCCAGUCUUGGCUUCCUCUGUACUGUAUGUGUGUGUGUGUCCUACGAAUAAAGGAAAAAGAACAAGAAAGUGCAUCCCCAUCCUCCUAGAUAGAAGCUAUGUAUUUCUAGAGACAUCACCCAUCCUUGUACCCUCCCCAGGUAAAAUCCUAGAUCUAAUUUUAAUAUUUGAAGUAUCAUUUUUGUUAGUAAUGAUAAGACUAAAUAUCCCAUGAAUUAUAAAAACAAAAAUUUGGAAUCUGUAAUAGUUCAGGUACUGUACAUUGCAUGUUAGAUACUGCAAUUCUGUAAGGGUUACUGACUACUGUAUAGCCAGAACUUGUACAGAGCUUACCUGAGCAAGCGUGAGUUGCAUACUUCAAGAUGGCCUACAAGAAGCUGUGAAAAAUAAAGUGUCAAUUAUUGCUUACAGAUGACAGUUAUGGUGGGGUUGUAAGCUGUAGGUUUAUGAACACGGUGAUAUAGUGUUAUGAAAUGAAUGUAAAUCUUUAGUGUAAGAAUAUUGAAAACGUCAGUGAAUGGACUUGGAAGUGAUACAGAGAUGCACAUGUAUUUAUUGUCAAGGUUCUGGUCAUGUGCUUUGCCUUAAGAAUAUUUAUACACAAGAAAAAAUGUAUUUUAAAGAAAUAUCAGUGAAACAUAAAUUUUGCUUUAGUAGUUCACCAUUACAGAGUUAGUUAACAUUAUAUUAAAAUUUUAACUUGUGUAUCAAUAAUAAAUUUUAUGAUUAUAACAAGGAGAGAAUGAAUUAAGUUAUGAUACUCUUUAAAAAAAUAUAUAUUUUUUGCAAAGUAAAUAUCAUUACCAUUUUGUUCGUAUGUUUAGUUAAUAUCUUCAAAAUAUUUUUCCGUGUAUGAUUUCCUUGUUACUUGUUUUCAUUUUUAAGUCUUACGGUGAAGUUUCUCACGAGCAAAGUUUGCAAAAUUUAUGUUACAUUGAAUAUUUGUCUUUGCAAAUUCUGCAUUACAAGUGUUUAUAUUGUUAGGGAUGAAGUCAUAUUUUAUCUGGCAGGUUUAUAUGUUAGGACAAUGAAUUAGAAAUAUUCAAGUUGAAAUUUGUUAUUGGUGAUCCAAGAAGUUGUGUCAACCGGAUACGCUGAAGCUUUUGUUGUUUCUUGAAGAUGUACCGUACAUGCUACAGAGCUGCAUAAUUUGCUAUAAGUUAGGUGUACUAGUCUGCUCCAUUAUGUAUGAAUGUACAGUACUAUAUACAGUUUCCACAAUAGCAGUCAGGUGCAGAUACAACACCUUCCUUAUCAUGUUGUAUAUCGCAGGUGUUUUGUAUGUUAUAUACUAUGUUAAUGUUAAUAAUAUGGCCUUAACAUACGGCCUUCCACUUACAACAGAGAACUACCAUCAACUUGGCACUAGGACACAACAUUCAAGAGACUUUGUGGUUACCCUUGAACCAUAACAGGGAAGAACUACACUGGAUAUCUCAACAACUAUAGUAGCCCAAACUAAAUGGCAGAACCAAUUGAUUUAUUAUCGAUACAAUUACCAUCAGUGUGUGUGAGUGGCAGGGAUGGUAAGAAGUCACGUAACAACUGGAGUGGUAAAGAUGUGUUACCUGUCACUCAUGAUCUGUGCUAUGGUAUAUUGUUGACUUCAUUCAGGACACCAUAAAGAGCUUAUAAUUAGUCACAAGGAUUAGACAACUGAUGAAUGGAAAUUAAUAAAUUGUAUUUAGUUGUACAGUUAGCUUAAAAUAUUCUGCUGCUGAAAACAAGCAAUUAAAUACUGUCAUUAUUAUUAUUAUUAUUCAUAUUAGUAUUAUUAUCAGUGUCAUUAUCAUCAUUACUAUUUUUAUUGCUGUAUUAUUAAUGAUUGUUAUCAAGUGUACAAGGAAUAUAUAUAUAUACAGUAUAGCCAUGCUUAUGUAUAGUAAUGUCCUUUAUUACCAGCAAGGGGAAACCUGGAGUCUAGGAUAUAGCAUGGACAUUAACCUCCACAAUGGGACUGCUGGCAUGUAGUAGUGUCAAUUAACUCCACAGCUGCCCAACUCACCCAUGUAUAUAGAGAAGAAUUUACACUUUCUCUUUUCAUACAUCUGAUAACUGCCAUAAAUGCUGUCUAGAAUAUAUAAAGUGUUACACUGUAGAAUGUACAAACAGAAUAGAAAUAAUGAAUUGAAGAUCCUCUGCUGUAACCAGUUUCUGAGCUAUCCUCUGUAGAUUGGUGGUGGAGGAGUAGUGACAUAAAGUCCUCUUGCUACCCACCAGAUGUGAAACAACUAGGGCGAGCCUCUGAUAAUGUUCCACACUUAAUAUCCAUCCUCCUACAGGUGGUUAACUGAAAGACUCAAGAAUUACUCUUAAGAUGUUGGAUAAAUGUAAUGUGCAUACACGUGGGAGUUGACUUCCAUGAAUCUUUUACCAGCUGCAGCUCCAAGGUCAGUGGGCCGACGACACAACACUCAAAUCUUUUCUCCUAAUCAUCCAACAUUUUACAUUUCCCACAUUUGAAAUAUUUAACUCUCUGUGUACACUCCUAGUUGUACUAUAUCAUGUGCUGUACAUGAAUGUACUUCUUGUAGCUUAGAUGUCAACAGUACAGUAUUACCAUUGUUUGUGAGCCCUGUCUUUGGAAUGAAUCGUCAUUUACUCCAAGUGUUGACAAAUUCACAUCUUACGACAUCAUUACUAAUAAGGCGACCGGUUAAAUUACAGGUCAUAAAACACACUCAGAUUAAGCAUCCAAUGGCAGGUCUGAAACAUUUUUUAAACUUGACCGGCAUUAGUUUUUGUAAACCUCAUUAAGAUUUCAUAUGCUUUCCACUUUUCUACUUAUUAAGGAUACUUUUUUGGUACACUGUAUGGAAAUUAAUUUACAAACAUUUUUAUACCCAAAACAAUUAGAGAAGUGCAACAAUGUGGGCCCUCAUAGAAGAUUGGUUUAGGGCUCUGUUCCCCGGCACACUCAGGUCACUAAGAGAUUCAAAAUGCAUGUACUACAAACUUAUGUAUUCAGCUAACAUUUUCCUCACUGUGUUCACUCUACACUUCAAGAUAAGGUCAUUGUGUACUAUACAUCGCAGAUAAAUUGAAGUCAUAUUUAAUAGAGUGUAAAUGUGGACAAUUGACCACAAGGGUUAAGUACAUGGGUAGGUAGUAUAAAUGCAUUCAGAUGGAUUGAUUUAAGUGUGUUAUGGACCCAAGCCUUAGAGUGUCUUCUGUUCUGAGAAUGAGUGCCUCUCAAACCUCAAUGUACCGUAUAUCACUAGAAUACAAAUAUGUAAGGCAAUGUAUUUGUGAACUCUGAUGGUUUGAUUGACAAUUAGUUGUUGUUGUAUUGCCAUGAAUGGUUAUGAUUUUAAAGAUAUUUAUGUACAAAUAAUUUAAGUUUUUAUGUGGCGAGGUGGUGCUAUGUGUGUAUGGCAAUGUAUUAUACGAAGCCAAUAAAAUGUGAGGUCUC